CCGCCGAAAAGGCAAAGCCGGAGCGAUCCGGCGACGCAAUGCAACAGGUCCGUUUCGGCGGACGGCUGAGCUGUCGAA
rnacentral:ncRNA from 1 species